AGCAAGCCCUGGCACAUAUGGCUAUUAAUAGGUGGUCUGAAUGGUGGCCCUGGCACAUAUGACUAUUAAUAGGUGGUCUGAAUGGUGGCCCUGGCACAUAUGACUAUUAAUAGGUAGUCUGAAUGGUGGCCCUGGCACAUAUGACUAUUAAUAGGUGGUCUGAAUGGUGGCCCUGGAAGAUAUGGCUAUUAAUAGGUGGUCUGAAUGGUCUUCAUGGUUUAUCAACAAGCCCCAUUCCCCAGUGCCUUCAAUCAGAUCACAGAUAUAGG